rnacentral:rRNA from 1 species
GUGCUGAAGCAACAAAUGCCCUGCUUCCAGGAAAAGCCUCUAAGCAUCAGGUAACAUCAAAUCGUACCCCAAACCGACACAGGUGGUCAGGUAGAGAAUACCAAGGCGCUUGAGAGAACUCGGGUGAAGGAACUAGGCAAAAUGGUGCCGUAACUUCGGGAGAAGGCACGCUGAUAUGUAGGUGAAGUCCCUCGCGGAUGGAGCUGAAAUCAGUCGAAGAUACCAGCUGGCUGCAACUGUUUAUUAAAAACACAGCACUGUGCAAACACGAAAGUGGACGUAUACGGUGUGACGCCUGCCCGGUGCCGGAAGGUUAAUUGAUGGGGUUAGCGCAAGCGAAGCUCUUGAUCGAAGCCCCGGUAAACGGCGGCCGUAACUAUAACGGUCCUAAGGUAGCGAAAUUCCUUGUCGGGUAAGUUCCGACCUGCACGAAUGGCGUAAUGAUGGCCAGGCUGUCUCCACCCGAGACUCAGUGAAAUUGAACUCGCUGUGAAGAUGCAGUGUACCCGCGGCAAGACGGAAAGACCCCGUGAACCUUUACUAUAGCUUGACACUGAACAUUGAGCCUUGAUGUGUAGGAUAGGUGGGAGGCUUUGAAGUGUGGACGCCAGUCUGCAUGGAGCCGACCUUGAAAUACCACCCUUUAAUGUUUGAUGUUCUAACGUUGACCCGUAAUCCGGGUUGCGGACAGUGUCUGGUGGGUAGUUUGACUGGGGCGGUCUCCUCCUAAAGAGUAACGGAGGAGCACGAAGGUUGGCUAAUCCUGGUCGGACAUCAGGAGGUUAGUGCAAUGGCAUAAGCCAGCUUGACUGCGAGCGUGACGGCGCGAGCAGGUGCGAAAGCAGGUCAUAGUGAUCCGGUGGUUCUGAAUGGAAGGGCCAUCGCUCAACGGAUAAAAGGUACUCCGGGGAUAACAGGCUGAUACCGCCCAAGAGUUCAUAUCGACGGCGGUGUUUGGCACCUCGAUGUCGGCUCAUCACAUCCUGGGGCUGAAGUAGGUCCCAAGGGUAUGGCUGUUCGCCAUUUAAAGUGGUACGCGAGCUGGGUUUAGAACGUCGUGAGACAGUUCGGUCCCUAUCUGCCGUGGGCGCUGGAGAACUGAGGGGGGCUGCUCCUAGUACGAGAGGACCGGAGUGGACGCAUCACUGGUGUUCGGGUUGUCAUGCCAAUGGCACUGCCCGGUAGCUAAAUGCGGAAGAGAUAAGUGCUGAAAGCAUCUAAGCACGAAACUUGCC